rnacentral:rRNA from 1 species
CACGUAGGGCGCGAGCGUUGUCCGGAAUUAUUGGGCGUAAAGAGCUCGUAGGCGGCCUGUUGCGUCCGCUGUGAAAGCCCGGGGCUUAACCCCGGGUCGGCAGUGGAUACGGGCAGGCUAGAGGUAGGUAGGGGAGAUCGGAAUUCCUGGUGUAGCGGUGGAAUGCGCAGAUAUCAGGAGGAACACCGGUGGCGAAGGCGGAUCUCUGGGCCAUAACUGACGCUGAGGAGCGAAAGCAUGGGGAGCGAACAGG